GGGGGCGUAACGGCUUCGACAGGGAGUAUAAGCUUCGGCAAGCGAGCAGCGGCACUGCAGAACCGCUAUAAAAUCCGCAGACUUAAAAACAAACGACAACAAAACACCUGUUGCCCUUGCCGCUUAAUUAGCGCAAGCGUUCUUACGGGAAGCACCACGGUCCCGUAAGGGCGUCGAUCAGUGGUGAACGUGAACGGCGGGACGUCUUGACCGCCGUCAUGAACUAAAGACUACCGAAGCACAGGGUCCGCUGCCGGACACUGUGUCGGGGGAAUCCUAAAACGGCAGCUGCGCUCGGAGAAAACCGUUGUAAGUGCUUUUUGGACAGGGGUUCGAUUCCCCUCGCCUCCA
rnacentral:tmRNA from 1 species